rnacentral:rRNA from 1 species
CACUCCUACGGGAGGCAGCAGUGAGGAAUAUUGGACAAUGGGUGGAAGCCUGAUCCAGCCAUCCCGCGUGCAGGAAGACGGCCCUAUGGGUUGUAAACUGCUUUUAUCUGGGGAUAAACCUACUUACGUGUAAGUAGCUGAAGGUACCAGAAGAAUAAGCACCGGCUAACUCCGUGCCAGCAGCCGCGGUAAUACGGAGGGUGCAAGCGUUAUCCGGAUUUAUUGGGUUUAAAGGGUCCGUAGGCGGACUGAUAAGUCAGUGGUGAAAUCCGACAGCUUAACUGUCGAACUGCCAUUGAUACUGUUAGUCUUGAGUAAGGUUGAAGUGGCUGGAAUAAGUAGUGUAGCGGUGAAAUGCAUAGAUAUUACUUAGAACACCAAUUGCGAAGGCAGGUCACUAAGUCUUAACUGACGCUGAUGGACGAAAGCGUGGGGAGCGAACAGGAUUAGAAACCCGAGUAGUCCCAUG